UACGAAGGGGGCGAGCGUUGUUCGGAAUUACUGGGCGUAAAGGGCGCGUAGGCGGUCCUUCAAGUCAGGCGUGAAAGCCCCGGGCUCAACCUGGGAACCGCGCUUGAGACUGGCGGACUCGAGUUCGGGAGAGGAUGGUGGGAAUUCCCAGUGUAGAGGUGAAAUUCGUAGAUAUUGGGAAGAACACCGAUGGCGAAGGCAGCCAUCUGGACCGACACUGACGCUGAGGCGCGAAAGCGUGGGGAGCAAACAGG
rnacentral:rRNA from 1 species